UACGUAGGGGGCUAGCGUUGCUCGGAAUCACUGGGCGUAAAGGGUGCGUAGGCGGGUCUUUAAGUCAGGGGUGAAAUCCUGGAGCUCAACCCCAGAACUGCCUUUGAUACUGAAGAUCUUGAGUUCGGGAGAGGUGAGUGGAACUGCGAGUGUAGAGGUGAAAUUCGUAGAUAUUCGCAAGAACACCAGUGGCGAAGGCGGCUCACUGGCCCGAUACUGACGCUGAGGCACGAAAGCGUGGGGAGCAAACAGG
rnacentral:rRNA from 1 species